AUUCAUCCCAUGCGGGAAGGAUGAGAAGCUUCGACUAAGGUUCGAUUCGAGCGAAGCGAGAAAGCGUUGCCGCAGGCAACGACCCGAAGGGCGAGGCGCAACGCGCCGAGUAAUCCUUCCCCCACCACCA
rnacentral:sRNA from 1 species